rnacentral:rRNA from 1 species
GACGAACGCUGGCGGCGUGCUUAACACAUGCAAGUCGAACGGAAAGGCCCUUUCGGGGGUACUCGAGUGGCGAACGGGUGAGUAACACGUGGGUGAUCUGCCCUGCACUUCGGGAUAAGCCUGGGAAACUGGGUCUAAUACCGGAUAUGACUAUGGCCUGCAUGGGUUGUGGUGGAAAGCUUUUGCGGUGUGGGAUGGGCCCGCGGCCUAUCAGCUUGUUGGUGAGGUUAUGGCUCACCAAGGCGACGACGGGUAGCCGGCCUGAGAGGGUGACCGGCCACACUGGGACUGAGAUACGGCCCAGACUCCUACGGGAGGCAGCAGUGGGGAAUAUUGCACAAUGGGCGCAAGCCUGAUGCAGCGACGCCGCGUGAGGGAUGACGGCCUCGGUUGUAACGUACUUCUAGUACAGACGAAGACGCAAGUGACGGUAGUGUACAGAAGAAGAC